rnacentral:rRNA from 1 species
UACGUAGGGGGCAAGCGUUGUCCGGAUUCAUUGGGCGUAAAGGGUGCGUAGGCGGCGCGGUAAGUCGGGUGUGAAAUCUCGGAGCUUAACUCCGAAACUGCAUUCGAUACUGCCGUGCUUGAGGACUGGAGAGGAGACUGGAAUUUACGGUGUAGCGGUGGAAAUGCGUAGAUAUCGUAAGGAAGACCAGUGGCGAAGGCGGGUCUCGUGGACAGUUCCUGACGCUGAAGCACGAAGGCCAGGGGAGCAAACGGG